GAGUUUGAUCAUGGCUCAGAACGAACGCUGGCGGCAGGCCUAACACAUGCAAGUCGAGCGCACCUUCGGGUGAGCGGCGGACGGGUUAGUAACGCGUGGGAACGUACCCUUUUCUACGGAAUAGCCUUUGGAAACGAAGAGUAAUACCGUAUACGCCCUUUGGGGGAAAGAUUUAUCGGAGAAGGAUCGGCCCGCGUUAGAUUAGAUAGUUGGUGGGGUAACGGCCUACCAAGUCUACGAUCUAUAGCUGGUUUUAGAGGAUGAUCAGCAACACUGGGACUGAGACACGGCCCAGACUCCUACGGGAGGCAGCAGUGGGGAAUCUUAGACAAUGGGCGCAAGCCUGAUCUAGCCAUGCCGCGUGAGUGAUGAAGGCCUUAGGGUCGUAAAGCUCUUUCGCCUGUGAUGAUAAUGACAGUAGCAGGUAAAGAAACCCCGGCUAACUCCGUGCCAGCAGCCGCGGUAAUACGGAGGGGGUUAGCGUUGUUCGGAAUUACUGGGCGUAAAGCGCACGUAGCGGAUUGGAAAGUUGGGGGUGAAAUCCCGGGGCUCAACCC
rnacentral:rRNA from 1 species